GCGAGUUCUAAACUCCAACCCUCGUGGACAUACCUAUCGUUGCUUCGGCGGGGCCCCUCGCAGGGGGGCAGCAGGGCCCGCCCCUGCGCCCGCCGGUGGCACGCCAACCAAAACCUGAAUCACAGUCGCAUUCUGAGUGGACUACAAAUAAGUC
rnacentral:misc_RNA from 1 species